rnacentral:rRNA from 1 species
GGAGCUUGCUCCACCGGAAAAAGAAGAGUGGCGAACGGGUGAGUAACACGUGGGUAACCUGCCCAUCAGAAGGGGAUAACACUUGGAAACAGGUGCUAAUACCGUAUAACAAUCGAAACCGCAUGGUUUUGAUUUGAAAGGCGCUUUCGGGUGUCGCUGAUGGAUGGACCCGCGGUGCAUUAGCUAGUUGGUGAGGUAACGGCUCACCAAGGCCACGAUGCAUAGCCGACCUGAGAGGGUGAUCGGCCACAUUGGGACUGAGACACGGCCCAAACUCCUACGGGAGGCAGCAGUAGGGAAUCUUCGGCAAUGGACGAAAGUCUGACCGAGCAACGCCGCGUGAGUGAAGAAGGUUUUCGGAUCGUAAAACUCUGUUGUUAGAGAAGAACAAGGAUGAGAGUAACUGUUCAUCCCUUGACGGUAUCUAACCAGAAAGCCACGGCUAACUACGUGCCAGCAGCCGCGGUAAUACGUAGGUGGCAAGCGUUGUCCGGAUUUAUUGGGCGUAAAGCGAGCGCAGGCGGUUUCUUAAGUCUGAUGUGAAAGCCCCCG